rnacentral:lncRNA from 1 species
CCAAGUACUGUAGGAUUUUUAGACCACUUAGGUCAACAAAGUUCAAGGCCCAAUGUUGACCCAAAGUAGAUGUCCAAGAACUUAGGUUGACCAUCUGGUCAAAGUUUUAACCUAGCUUGCUGGACAAGGGUGUGUGGGAUGUCCCAUGUAAGAGUGGUCAUCUGUCAUGCUCAUAUUGAAGAAGUGCUUGGAGUUUAAAGUUAUGUUUGAUGCCAGAGUUUACACAAUUUUUUGAAAAAGAUCAUUUUCAAAUUCUUCCCCGUG